rnacentral:rRNA from 1 species
AUUGAACGCUGGCGGCAUGCCUUACACAUGCAAGUCGAACGGCAGCAUGGAGGAGCUUGCUCCUCUGAUGGCGAGUGGCGAACGGGUGAGUAAAGCAUCGGAACGUACCGUGUAGUGGGGGAUAACGUAGCGAAAGUUACGCUAAUACCGCAUACGCACUGAGGUGGAAAAGCAGGGGAUCGCAAGACCUUGCGCUAUACGAGCGGCCGAUGUCAGAUUAGCUAGUUGGUAGGGUAAAGGCCUACCAAGGCGACGAUCUGUAGCGGGUCUGAGAGGAUGAUCCGCCACACUGGGACUGAGACACGGCCCAGACUCCUACGGGAGGCAGCAGUGGGGAAUUUUGGACAAUGGGGGAAACCCUGAUCCAGCCAUGCCGCGUGAGUGAAGAAGGCCU